ensembl:snRNA U6 U6 spliceosomal RNA
GUGCUCGCUUCGGCAGCACAUAUACUAAAAUUGGAAUGAUACAGAGAAGAUUAGCAUGGCCCCUGCGCAAGGAUGAUAGAGCUCAGUAGCACCCGUUUUCU